rnacentral:rRNA from 1 species
GAUGAACGCUGGCGGCGUGCCUAAUACAUGCAAGUCGAGCGAACGGACGAGAAGCUUGCUUUUCUGAUGUUAGCGGCGGACGGGUGAGUAACACGUGGAUAACCUACCUAUAAGACUGGGAUAACUUCGGGAAACCGGAGCUAAUACCGGAUAAUAUUUUGAACCGCAUGGUUCAAAAGUGAAAGACGGUCUUGCUGUCACUUAUAGAUGGAUCCGCGCUGCAUUAGCUAGUUGGUAAGGUAACGGCUUACCAAGGCAACGAUGCAUAGCCGACCUGAGAGGGUGAUCGGCCACACUGGAACUGGGACACGGUCCAUACUCCUACGGGAGGCAGCAGUAGGGAAUCUUCCGCAAUGGGCGAAAGCCUGACGGAGCAACGCCGCGUGAGUGAUGAAGGUCUUCGGAUCGUAAAACUCUGUUAUUAGGGAAGAACAUAUGUGUAAGUAACUGUGCACAUCUUGACGGUACCUAAUCAGAAAGCCACGGCUAACUACGUG